GGAUCAUUAUCGAUUAUCCAGGAUUGUCGCUGGCUAGAUUCGAUUCGAUUCGUUUCUAGCAUGUGCACGUCCACCAUAACACAUACAUACACCCUUGUGCACCUUUUGUAGAUCCUCGAGAGGGGAUCUAUGUCUUUUCUCAUCACGCUCCUAACGUAUGUCUAUGAAUGUGUAAACGAAAACGAAUACAUACAACUUUCAGCAACGGAUCUCUUGGCUCUCGCAUCGAUGAAGAACGUAGCGAAUUGCGAUAAGUAAUGUGAAUUGCAGAUUUCCAGUGAAUCAUCGAAUCUUUGAACGCACCUUGCGCUCCUUGGUAUUCCGAGGAGCAUGCCUGUUUGAGUGUCAUCGAAUUCUCAACCAUGUCUUACAUGGAUUGGAGUUUGGGGGGUUUUGCUGGCGUCGAAAGAUCCGUCAGCUCUCCUGAAAUGCAUUAGCGGAUGGGGUCAGCUUUGACAUGCACGGCCUUUUCGACGUGAUAAUGAUCGUCGUUUCGGGGCUGGAGUGUCGACCGAUCAGACCGUUUGCUUCUAAUCAUCAAGGAAUUCCAGCUUAGCUACUAGUCGGUCGGCGAACGCGGCUGGAUGCCUUACUUUCUUCAUGCUUGACCUCAAAUCAGGUAGGACUACCCGCUGAACUUAAGCAUAUCAAUAAGCGGAGGAAAAGAAACUAACAAGGAUUCCCCUAGUAACUGCGAGUGAAGCGGGAAAAGCUCAAAUUUUGAAUCUGGCGGUCUUUCGGCCGUCCGAGUUGUAAUCUAGAGAAGCGUCUUCCGCGCUGGACCGUGUACAAGUCUCCUGGAAGGGAGCGUCAUAGAGGGUGAGAAUCCCGUCUUUGACACGGACCGCCAGGGCUAUGUGAUGCGCUCUCGACGAGUCGAGUUGUUUGGGAAUGCAGCUCAAAACGGGUGGUAAAUUCCAUCUAAAGCUAAAUACAGGCGAGAGACCGAUAGCGAACAAGUACCGUGAGGGAAAGAUGAAAAGAACUCUGGAAAGAGAGUUAAACAGUACGUGAAAUUGCUGAAAGGGAAACGCUUGAUGUCAGUCGCGUCGGCCAGGGAUCAACCUUGCUUCUCGCUGGGUGCAUUUCCUGGUCGACGGGUCAGCAUCAGUUUCGAUCGCCGUACAAUGGCAAAGGGAACGUGGCACUCCUCGGGGUGUGUUAUAGCCUUUCGUCGCAUGCGAUGGUCGGGACUGAGGAACUCAGCACAGGCUUCUAGCUU
rnacentral:rRNA from 1 species